GGGAACUAGGGGCCGGGGGCCUCGGGAAUGAGGAGGGGGCGGGGGUGAAUCGGGAUUUCAUGGCGUAAAGGGUGGGAGGGGGGGUUGGGAAGGACGGGGUGAAAACCCCGGGCUUAACCUGGGGAAUGCGCUUUGGACUGGCCGGCUAGAGUUAGGGAGAGGGGGGUGGAAAUCCAAGUGGAGCCGUGAAAUGCGUAGAGAUGUGGAGGAACACCAAUGGCGAAGGCAGCCCCCUGGGUCGAUACUGACGCUCAUGCACGAAAGCGUGGGUAGCAAACAGGAUUAGAUACCCCGGUAGUC
rnacentral:rRNA from 1 species